rnacentral:rRNA from 1 species
AACGAACGCUGGCGGCAUGCCUAACACAUGCAAGUCGAACGAGACCUUCGGGUCUAGUGGCGCACGGGUGCGUAACGCGUGGGAACCUGCCCUUAGGUUCGGAAUAACUCCCCGAAAGGGGUGCUAAUACCGGAUAAUGUCUUCGGACCAAAGAUUUAUCGCCUUUGGAUGGGCCCGCGUUGGAUUAGCUAGUUGGUAGGGUAAAAGCCUACCAAGGCGACGAUCAAUAGCUGGUCUGAGAGGAUGAUCAGCCACACUGGGACUGAGACACGGCCCAGACUCCUACGGGAGGCAGCAGUGGGGAAUAUUGGACAAUGGGCGAAGGCCUGAUCCAGCAAUGCCGCGUGAGUGAUGAAGGCCUUAGGGUUGUAAAGCUCUUUUACCCGGGAUGAUAAUGACAGUACCGGGAGAAUAAGCUCCGGCUAACUCCGUG